rnacentral:lncRNA from 1 species
GUUCAAUAAAACUUUGGUAAACCAGAUUAAUUAUCCAUCUACCCCAGUCUGUGUUUACCCCCCUUUCUUGUUUAUUCUUUCAAAUGAUUCAUUUGAAGUCUGUUCCAAUGAUUCUUGUUGGAUUUCUCAAUGUUGGGAUGUAACAAAGAACACCCAUGCCAUGGUGGCACGGAUCCCACGUUGGAUCCCUGUUCCGGUGGAGACACCCUCCACCUUAUCUAUGUUUCGACAAAAGAGAGAUUUUGGCAUUACUGCUGCCGUGAUCAUAGCAAUUUCAGCCAGUGCAGCUGCUGCUACAGCUGCAGGGUACGCUAUGGUUAGUGCGGUUCAAUCAGGCACAAAAUUAAAUCAGCUUUCAGCAGAUCUGGCUGAUGCCAUCACUGUCCAAACUUCUGCUAGUACCAAUUUAAAGGGAGGGCUGAUGAUUUUGAAUCAGCACCUUGACCUGGCGGAGGAACAGAUAGGUGUUCUAUACCAGAUGGCCCAGUUGGGUUGUGAAAGAAAACUGGAAGCUCUGUGCAUUACCAGUGUCCAAUAUGAAAAUUUUACUUAUGCAGCUAAUCUGUCUAGACAGCUUUCUUUAUAUCUUGCAGGAAACUGGUCUGAAAGAUUCGAUGAGACCCUUGAGGCCCUGAGAGUGGCCGUUCUAAAGAUCAACUCGACACGAGUGGACCUGUCAUUGACAGAGGGCCUCUCCUCCUGGAUUUCAUCUGCCUUUUCUUAUUUUAAGGAAUGGGUGGGGGUAGGUUUAUUUGGCGUUGCCACCUGCUGUGGACUUGUGGUCAUGCUCUGGUUGGUUUGCAAGCUCAGAACCCAACAAACACGUGACAAGGUUGUGAUAACUCAAGCACUUGCUGCCAUCGAGCAAGGGGCCUCCCCUGAAAUCUGGCUAUCUAUGCUAAAAAAUUAAUUGACAUUGGUGGCUGGCCUCUUUUAUAGAGUUCGCCCUAGGUCAUUUAGUAGUUAAUGUCACAUAGCACUGCGGUAUCCAGGGACGGGCAACUUUCCUCAUGCACAGAUCAACCUAAGACACGGGGCCCGGUGGCGAUAGGGUUACCCUAUGACAGGAAAGGCUGUGACAUUGGAGGAACGACCUAAGACAGGAGCCACAGCGGAUGGGCAUAAUUACACAGGCCUAGACCAGCCUUAAAUUUUAAUAAAAUCAAAAGGGGGAGAUGUGGAAAGCCGGUACGUGCUGCGAGCAAUCGCAUGUGUGCCGCCAGUAAUCUCUGAGGAGAGCCGUGUGUGCCGCGAGCAAUCGCCAUUAUAAGAUGGCGCGGGCCUCCGCUGUGCCUAACUAGUAAACAAGUCCUGUACGCAGGUGCAAGAGUGAAUUCACUCCUAGUCACUCCCAUUCUCGGGGUGUAAUAGUGGGGUGAUGGGCAAGCAACGAAUCGGGAGCUGUCACGCCAUAUCAGGUGCUGAAACGUCACGCUGCGGGUUAUAAAAGCAGCGCCAUUUUCCCGGUUUGGGAUCUUCCUGAGAAGCAAGCAAUAAAGCUUUUGCCGCGG